CCUACGGGAGGCUGCAGUGGGGAAUAUUGCACAAUGGGGGAAACCCUGAUGCAGCGACGCCGCGUGAGUGAAGAAGUAUUUCGGUAUGUAAAGCUCUAUCAGCAGGGAAGAAAAUGACGGUACCUGAUUAAGAAGCCCCGGCUAACUACGUGCCAGCAGCCGCGGUAAUACGUAGGGGGCAAGCGUUAUCCGGAUUUACUGGGUGUAAAGGGGGCGUAGACGGCAGCACAAGUCUGGAGUGAAAUGCCGGGGCUUAACCCCGGAACUGCUUUGGAAACUGUGCAGCUAGAGUGCAGGAGAGGUAAGUGGAAUGCCUAGUGUAGCGGUGAAAUGCGUAGAUAUUAGGAGGAACACCAGUGGCGAAGGCGGCUUACUGGACUGUAACUGACGUUGAGGCUCGAAAGCGUGGGGAGCAAACAGGAUUAGAUACCCUAGUAGUC
rnacentral:rRNA from 1 species